UAGCCUAGUGGUUAAGGCUUUGGAUCGCCAAUCCGGAGACGGCGGGUUCGAUUCCCGGU
rfam:Aedes aegypti strain Liverpool supercont1.59 genomic scaffold, whole genome shotgun sequence.